rnacentral:rRNA from 1 species
GAAACCGAGUCUUAACUGGGCGUUAAGUUGCAGGGUAUAGACCCGAAACCCGGUGAUCUAGCCAUGGGCAGGUUGAAGGUUGGGUAACACUAACUGGAGGACCGAACCGACUAAUGUUGAAAAAUUAGCGGAUGACUUGUGGCUGGGGGUGAAAGGCCAAUCAAACCGGGAGAUAGCUGGUUCUCCCCGAAAGCUAUUUAGGUAGCGCCUCGUGAAUUCAUCUCCGGGGGUAGAGCACUGUUUCGGCAAGGGGGUCAUCCCGACUUACCAACCCGAUGCAAACUGCGAAUACCGGAGAAUGUUAUCACGGGAGACACACGGCGGGUGCUAACGUCCGUCGUGAAGAGGGAAACAACCCAGACCGCCAGCUAAGGUCCCAAAGUCAUGGUUAAGUGGGAAACGAUGUGGGAAGGCCCAGACAGCCAGGAUGUUGGCUUAGAAGCAGCCAUCAUUUAAAGAAAGCGUAAUAGCUCACUGGUCGAGUCGGCCUGCGCGGAAGAUGUAACGGGGCUAAACCAUGCACCGAAGCUGCGGCAGCGACACUGUGUGUUGUUGGGUAGGGGAGCGU